UGGCUCAGUGUUUAAGAGCACUGGCUACUCUUCCCAGAGGACCUGGGUUCGAUUCCCAG
rnacentral:tRNA from 1 species